rnacentral:rRNA from 1 species
AGGGCCGAAGGAAGGGGGCAAAGCUUCAAUUUGAAUCUGGCCCUCGGGUCCGAGUUGUAAUUUGUAGAGGAUGCUUUUGGCGAGGUGCCUUCCGAGUUCCCUGGAACGGGACGCCAUAGAGGGUGAGAGCCCCGUCUGGUCGGACACCGAGCCUCUGUAAAGCUCCUUCGACGAGUCGAGUAGUUUGGGAAUGCUGCUCAAAAUGGGAGGUAUAUGUCUUCUAAAGCUAAAUAUUGGCCAGAGACCGAUAGCGCACAAGUAGAGUGAUCGAAAGAUGAAAAGCACUUUGAAAAGAGGGUUAAAAAGUACGUGAAAUUGUUGAAAGGGAAGCGCUUAUGACCAGACUUGCGCCCGGUGAAUCAUCCAGCGUUCUCGCUGGUGCACUUUGCCGGGCACAGGCCAGCAUCAGUUUGGCGCGGGGGAAAAAGGCUUCGGGAAUGUGGCUCCCUCGGGAGUGUUAUAGCCCGCUGCGUAAUACCCUGCGCCGGACUGAGGUACGCGCAUUGCAAGGAUGCUGGCGUAAUGGUCAUCAGCGACCCGUCUUGAAACACGGACCAAGGAGUCGUCUUCGUAUGCGAGUGUUCGGGUGUCAAACCCCUACGCGUAAUGAAAGUGAACGCAGGUGAGAGCUUCGGCGCAUCAUCGACCGAUCCUGAUGUUCUCGGAUGGAUUUGAGUAAGAGCAUACGGGGCCGGACCCGAAAGAAGGUGAACUAUGCCUGUAUAGGGUGAAGCCAGAGGAAACUCUGGUGGAGGCUCGCAGCGGUUCUGACGUGCGAAUCGAUCGUCAAAUAUGGGCAUGGGGGCGAAAGACUAAUCGAACCUUCUAGUAGCUGGUUUCCGCCGAAGUUUCCCUCAGGAUAGCAGUGUUGAACUCAGUUUUAUGAGGUAAAGCGAAUGAUUAGGGACUCGGGGGCGCUAUAUUGCCUUCAUCCAUUCUCAAACUUUAAAUAUGUAAGAAGCCCUUGUUACUUAAUUGAACGUGGGCAUUCGAAUGUAUCAACACUAGUGGGCCAUUUUUGGUAAGCAGAACUGGCGAUGCGGGAUGAACCGAACGCGAGGUUAAGGUGCCGGAGUGGACGCUCAUCAGACACCACAAAAGGUGUUAGUACAUCUUGACAGCAGGACGGUGGCCAUGGAAGUCGGAAUCCGCUAAGGACUGUGUAACAACUCACCUGCCGAAUGUACUAGCCCUGAAAAUGGAUGGCGCUCAAGCG